UUUUAUUUUUAGGUGGUUUCCAUUGUAGAUGCAGACAGGAAACAUGGGGAGAGAGAGGUCUGACAGCUUGUGUUACACUGACCACAUUGCAAUGAAUGCAGGUUGCAGGUAUGAGUCUAACCACUACACCACCUUUAUACUCUUUAUUGGCUUCAUAGUGAUAUAUAUUUAAUGAUGAGUAGCAGCAAGUCAUGCAACAAAUGGUGCAACAGCGAAUCCUUACCAGACACAAUGAUACAAAUAACACAUAAAUUAUUCUAUCUUUCACACAUCAUAUCAAGGUCCAUAUCGAGGGUUUUUAAGUGAGCUUUAUUCACUCCUCAUUAAUAAUAACUUUGUAUGAUAGGAGACAUGAACACUAAACCACAGGUUACAAACAAACAGGUGAUCUACAGAGAGAUAUAUUGAAAUAAAAAAGUGUGAGACAGAACUUAAUGUAACUCAUAUGUGCUAUAAUCAUCCAUAGCAUAAACUGAAGAGCCUGUUUGAAGCUUCACUGCCUUUGCUUAAUGCACUGCAACAAAUCAGUUUCUAACUGGUUCAGAUAGUUUGUCAUCUGGUAUCACACACUGGAUGAAUCUGCUGACAGUGUUUGCUGUUGAUUCAUGUUAGUAUGUGAUUUUUUUGUUGUUUCUGGAGUUUGGGGUUUCUACAGUUUGUAGUUUGUGUAGAAACAAGUAGAGCACAUUUCUCUCUCUCGAAGGCUGCACUUUAGAACUAAAUGUAACUGCCCUGCCUUUAUGAAUGAAUGAAAAUGCUACUCAUUUAUUCAGCAUUUAAAAAUAAUUGUUACCAUGUCUGCAGUGGAACAGGAAACCCUUUGUUAGUGUUUUAAUAUUAGACUCAAAUAUUAAUUCAGGUUACAGUCAACCUGAAUGAUGUAAUAUAAAGUUUGCUGCAUGCUGAUCAUUCUGGUAGAAUGAGCUCAAUUUAUGUUCUGUUUUACACAAUUAUCAUUUCUAUUAAUAUAUGAUUAGAUGGAAUUAGCCUUUUUUUUUCUUUUUUGGGGAAUAUAUUCGUAUGAAGUUAGUUUUUCUUUCAUAGAUAGUUCCAUGUGUUUUGUCACAUGUGUGAUUUGCAGAUAAAUAUCCCUUCCAGAUAUAUGAAGCUGUGAAAAAUUGGAAACAUAUCAAACAGUCUUCUCUUAGUACAAACUGUAUAUUUAUGCAUUAUUGUUCUACUUUAUCUCAGUUAUAGUGACACUGUGUUGGCCAACAAUCCAGAUUGACCUGAUUUGAUGUGAUUUACAGGGUGAUGGUCUGCAGGAACAGAGAAGAGACAGGGUGAAGAAGAGAAUCAGAUGGCUUGUAAGAGCUGUGUCACACUAAUGUGUGAUCCUAGGUGAUCCUGAGCCGACAGUUGUUUUUCUUCCAGACAUUACUGAACUUCAUAUUGUAGAGUUAGAGAAGUGUGUGUGUUUGGCGACACACUCAGCUCCGUUCUCUUCCUGCCUGGCCCUUCAGCUCUCCAUCCCUGUCUUUGUUUUCCCGUCUCAAGCCUCUUUAGUAGUUACUCUUCCAGCUUUUAAAAGCUGCUCAGCAAGAUUUUGUCCUGGUCUUCCCAUCUGUUUGAAUUCAAUUCAGAUUUUUGUGUGAGGGUACUAAAGGGAAAGGGAAAUCCCUGCUCGUGGGAAAUACCAGCAAAAUCCAAACAGUCUCUUCUUCAAAUUCUGUAAAUUUGGGCUUUACUCAUUGAGGCUGCGUUAAAUGAUUUAUGACACAUUGCAAACACUUCCUCCACUGCGCUUUGGGUCUGCCAAUGAGCUUAAGUGCAGCCUAAAGUCAGUUUACCUUCCAUAUUUCUGUCGUGAACUUUUCUCUCCUGUUCUUGUUUUUUUGCUGCUCAGCGUGGCUUCUUCGUGCACUGACAGAGAUUCGGGGUCGUGCUUUAUUAAUUUCACGGCACUUGACCUCUCAGCUCGACUUUGAUAAGCUCUCAGCACAUUUUUGUACGUUAGUGUGUGUCUAGAUAAGGUGUGUGCAAACAUACAUAGAGGAUGAAAUAGAGAGGCUUUUAAAGGCAGUGAUUAUUGUUGUCACAAGAGCUGUCUACUUUGGUGUGACAGAUAUGUGUGUAACAUUGCGUGUCGGGCAAAUUUAGACUAUUUUACUCCGUGUGUGUGUGUGUGUGUGUGUGUCUUGCAAAAAAAGGCGAUCUGGAAUCAUUUUUGAAAGAAUCCGUUUGGAGCUGAGGAAAAAUUAUGCAAAAGUGCAGCCAGCUGUUUAUACACUAAUGUCUUUAGUAUCCAUUCCUAUGAACAAAAGCACACAUGACGUGGGCUAACUCUUGAAACUCUACAGCACAGACCAUAAAAGCUGGAGCUCAGCUAUAUCAAAGAUGUUUAAAUAGAAUUAAAAAAAACAUGAAUCAGUGAUUUGAUUCUGCUGAACAAAAGCUGACAAACUUUUACUGAAGCCAGCUGAAGUUUUCAUGAGUAUGCUGUCAAGUCAAUAAGACUCCAUGAAUUGGUGCAAAUAGUGAGUAUUAAUGUGAAUGUGUAAUUUUACUUCCAAAUUUUACUUCCAAAUGUUGUCUGUUGGUCCAUUUUUAAACAGUCCAUGUAACUGUGAUGCAACUUCAACAAAGAUCCUUUGUUGAUCUGAUCGUCAGUGUGUUUACUGGUGGCACAAAAAGAAUGAUUUUAAUGUGAACGACAGAAGUCAUUUUGCACUCCAAUUCUGAUUUAAAGCUGUCAUUUAAAGAAAAAAUAAUGUUUUGGGUUUUUUUGGCCCCUAGGUGUCAGCAGAACAAUUUUAAAACACACUGACAUCAUUAUCUCAUGAUAAAGUUAUCAUGGUGAACUGGUUUAUACGUCCAGUAGACACAGAACAACAUCAGCUUUUUUUUGAUGAAAACAGCUGGCUGCUGCAGCUGGAGAAGAGGUUGGUGAUAGCCAAGUGUGCAGGCCAGGAAACAAGAGUCCUGACCUCCAAAACGGAACAAUUACAGAGUGGUGUCAUAAUUCUCUGUGGGUUUAUCACUAUUAGAGACCAAUUUCACAUUGUGGGUAGUCAUUUGAUCCAUUGUCAAUAUGGAAAUGUGGUUUAGUGUAGCUUUAACUGUCUGCCUUAGGUCAGAACAUUCAGGUAUUUUCACAUAAAAUCUGUCCUCCACAUCUGACACUGUCCCCCAGCUGUAAAGACAUUUUUGUGAGCCCCAACCUGAAAUAAUAAAAAUAAAAAAAAAAUUUAAACCAAAAUUUGCCUACUACUGUUGUCUUAUCAGGUUUGAGAAUAAAUGUGAAAGUGCACAAGCUCCACAGGCCUAAAAAUACCAAAAUACCAAAACAUGAAAUUUUAGGAGAUGGGAUAAUUUGCACAGUAAUUGAGUUUUUUCAGAGUCUGAACAACUCAGAAAUGUCGUGUCUUUAUAAUAUUUAAGACAAAAAUCAAAAGACAAUCCUAAUGGCAAUUGUUGCCUUUUGUCAGUGGAUGUCUUCCUUUUGAUUUCAUAUGAACCAGUCUGGUUGAGAACCAGUGUGGUGAAUGUUGUGUUAACGUUGGAUUUGGACAUUAGAUGAUGUUCCAGAGAACAGUGGGAUAUUUGAAGAAGCGGGGCGAUCAAUUUGGCCAAAUAAAUUAUCAUGCUUCUCAGUGAAAACAUAAAUUAUAAAGAGUUCAUAUUCAUUUUUACCAUUGGAUAAUUUAUCAUCAGGCAACAGUCCUGCUCUUCAUGAAAUGUCCCACAGUUGACUGAAAACUAAUGAUUGUUACUCUUGUUCUGCUCAGAGGAAGCACAAUGUGAGAAGUUCACUGUAUGAAAGACACAUCCAACAUGUAUGAAUAGGUGUGAGUCAGUCCAUGCUAUAUAGCCUUCCAGUUAAGAGUGAAUUGUGGUACUCAUGCUGUUGUCUUUGAGUAUCUCAUAAUAAAAAUAUGCUUGACUUGAA